UACGAAGGGGGCUAGCGUUGUUCGGAAUUACUGGGCGUAAAGCGCGCGCAGGCGGUCUUCCAAGUCAGUGGUGAAAGCCAGGAGCUCAACUCCGGAACUGCCAUUGAAACUGUGAGACUUGAGGAUGAGAGAGGUGAGUGGAAUUCCCAGUGUAGAGGUGAAAUUCGUAGAUAUUGGGAAGAACACCGGUGGCGAAGGCGGCUCACUGGCUCAUUUCUGACGCUCAGGCGCGACAGCGUGGGGAUCAAACAGG
rnacentral:rRNA from 1 species